rnacentral:rRNA from 1 species
UACGGAGGGUGCAAGCGUUAUCCGGAUUCACUGGGUUUAAAGGGUGCGUAGGUGGGUCUGUAAGUCAGUGGUGAAAUCUCCAAGCUUAACUUGGAAACUGCCGUUGAUACUAUAGAUCUUGAAUGUUGUGGAGGUGAGCGGAAUAUGUCAUGUAGCGGUGAAAUGCUUAGAUAUGACAUAGAACACCAAUUGCGAAGUCAGCUCACUACACAAAUAUUGACACUGAGGCACGAAAGCGUGGGGAUCAAACAGG